rnacentral:lncRNA from 1 species
AAUGGUGCACCAAAACUAUGGUAAGUAGGUUUAGAUUUAGAAAUUCCUUUUUGCUCUGAAAUACCCUUUUUAAUCCUUCAAAAUUGAACCAUUGCUGGUUAAAAAUGAAUCGUAUUUACAUCUCAUUACAGAAAACUUUGCAUUCAUUUGGAAUGGACAAUUAAAAAUUGAACCAUUCUAUUGUAUUUUACAUGGCAUCUUAAAUAAUUUCAGUUCAUUUUUGUGAAAGAUAAACGAGCCUGUACUUUGCGACUUCAUCUUACAUGACUGAAUUAUCUGAUUGAUGAAUUAUUUUUUGUUCUAGUACUAUUAGUUUGUUCAAAAGUGCAAAAUAAAACACCCAUGCAUGCAGAAAACAUUGGAGCCUGUUUGGAAUUGUUUUCCAGGGUUGAAAAUAUAUUUGGCAAUUUUUUUGACAAAAAACUAUUUUUUGAAAAUUUGUUUUCAUAUUUAUUUGUUUUCACUUGUUUUCUAAGAAUUAUUUUAAAAAAUAAUCGUACAAAUAUAAAAAAUGAUUGAAAAUAAAACACUAUAGAUCAAAUUUAUUUUAAAAAAAAUACUUUGAGAAUGCAUAAAAUAGAUUGAAAACAUUCCAAAUUCCGAACAGAUUUUUAUUCUACAGAAUAUCGUAGAACUAUUUUUGAAUACUGUUGUCAAAAUUUGUUUUUUGAGAACUGUUUUUAAAAUAGUUCCCUAAAAAAGCCCUUGAUUCUUUUUCCAUAAGAUGGCCUUAGACCUUCUUAGUUUCUUGUCCCCUAUGGAACUGCUAUGAAUUCAAGGCCAACUUUCUUUACAAUCCUUUUGAGUUGUUCUGCAAUCUCCUUGUUGUAUCAGGUUAAUAAAUUAGUAUAACUUGAGGACAUCAUCUAUGUUAGAGUUUGGGGUAGUGCUUGGAUGACAGGUAAAUGCUCAAGUUCCCAACAAUGGCUGCAGACUAUAUAAAUUUUGAGGACAAUGCUGGAGUAUUCAGCAUCUGCCCAUGAAGUUUUAUAAUAUUAUUUGUAUUGCAUCAAUGUAGACAAGUCCAUUAAGCUUCCAAUCAGAAAGUUGGGAAGUAUCAAAUGCUGAAAUCCCCAAUAUUUGCCUGGAUAAACCUUUGUGCAAAUUGCUGAAUUUAAAUCCAUCUUUGGACAUCAAAGAUAUUUCUGUUUAUUAUUUCAAUCAUGUGGGUGAAUUUCACUUAGAUUAUCAAAAUAGGGUUCUCUUGAGUUU